GUCCCCAUCGUCUAGAGGCCCAGGACACUACCCUUUCACGGUAGGUACCGGGGUUCGAAUCCCCGUGGGGACG
rnacentral:tRNA from 1 species